rnacentral:rRNA from 1 species
CCUACGGGAGGCAGCAGUGGGGAAUAUUGGGCAAUGGGCGCAAGCCUGACCCAGCAACGCCGCGUGAAGGAAGAAGGUUUUCGGGUUGUAAACUUCUUUUCUCAGGGACGAAGAAAGUGACGGUACCUGAGGAAUAAGCCACGGCUAACUACGUGCCAGCAGCAGCGGUAAUACGUAGGUGGCAAUCGUUAUCCGGAUUUAUUGGGUGUAAAGGGCGUGUAGGCGGGAGCGCAAGUCAGAUGUGAAAACUCAGGGCUCAACCCUGAGCCUGCAUUUGAAACUGUGUUUCUUGAGUGCUGGGGAGGCAAUCGGAAUUCCGUGUGUAGCGAUGAAAUGCGUAGAUAUACGGAGGAACACCAGUGGCGAAGGCGGAUUGCUGGACAGUAACUGACGCUGAGGCGCGAAAGCGUGGGGAGCAAACAGGAUUAGAUACCCCAGUAGUC